rnacentral:lncRNA from 1 species
CUGGCUAGGCCAUCCCUCUACUCACCUGUGGCACCCUGAUCCGCAUGGAGCAGGGGGCCUUCGCACGUCAGCCCAGGAUUACGUCUGACGCACGAGAGGUCCAUGAUACAGCAUUCCAGGUACAAUAAUAUUCAUCAAAUACAUGUGUAUAAGAUUACAUCAUUGAUGAAUACAAUUUUCUGGCAUAGCCCUAAGGCUAUUUACAUGGCAGCGGAAGUCCAUAUAAAUGGCGGCGGAAGUCUUGGUUUGGCAGUGUCUCACUAAGGCGGGGCUCCAUAACGCACAGGACAGGCAAGAUUACGGCCUAGCACAACGGAACAAGUGAACAACCUACAAAACUGGCAUGACAUGCCAGGUCAGUACAUUGAAUGUACUUGCAAGACAACCAAAUACAUAGCAUCCAAACAAACAGAGGAAAAAGCAAGAACCAAGCAUAUGCAACAGUCUACAUCAACACAACUUCUAAGCAUGGCAUGAUAUUAACUAGAAAUAUAAUUCAAACUAGGCAUGAACAACAUCAUAGCAUCAACUAUCAUGGCAUAUCAAACUUAAUUCUAUCAUAACAACAGCAAAGCAUAGCAUAUCAAACCAUGGCAUGGCAUCAUGAAACUAUGCUGAAAAAUAAACUACCAGUUACCUCCCAUGAAGACAUGUUGUAAUAACCUUAUGCAACAAUCACUUACUCUGCCACGGCUCCUCGGAGCACAAUCAUGACUUACCGAGACCUCGUCUCGGGGUCAUAUCAACACAUCAUCGUGACUUCUCACGAUUAUUUCAUAGUCCAAGCCAUCACAUUAGUUAUCACAUCUUAGUUAUCACAUAAUUUAUUAGCUGAUUUAUCCUCCAUUUCGACCGAGACCCGAUAGUGUGACCUACUACGAACUUGUGCCCAUGACCGAGGACGCGGCUAUCGAUAGAUUGAAUACACUCUGCAGAGGUAGCGCACUUUACCCACACUACGGAACCCUGGUCUCGCACUCCCAAACGUGCGGACCAAAGUGUUCCAACAAAACUGAUCUACUGCCAUGACGCCCUCCCGGCCACUCCGACCAACACCCCUUAAGGGUUCAGUCCUGGGUGGCCCCGUACCUACCAAAGGUACCAACGGCCACCGUCGUGGCAAAAUGGUCCCAAACGGGGACAUGAGCUCAAAACCAAACCCGGGCACACAAGGCUUAUGUCCGCCUACCUGAUCAGGGUAAGCGUGCCCAUAACCUUCCCUCACGGGAGGCACCGGCGAGAGGCAUGACAAUAGACCCAGCUAGGACCUUCCCCCAAGGUAAAUGUGGUUGCACUGGAGAAAGCUCGAUUUGGUGGCACUAUGAUAUCCCAGUGAUGGCGGAGGAGGUUUGUUAUUAAGUCAUAUUAUUAAUUUCUCCAUCAUCAUCAACAUUAUGAGCAUAUUAAACAUGGACGCAACAAUGAACAUGCUACUAACAAAUGCAUUAACAAAUAUCAAGCUACUCCAGUGAACAGUUAAAGCAUAUGAAACAUAACAAUACUAGACACUAGCUUAUUGACGGUGCAACAAAAUCAUCAUAACAUCAAGACUACUGGCAUGGACUAAACUAGACAGAGGCAUGAUAUUAUCAACAACAAUAUAACUAGCAUGGCAAAAGCUAUCAUGAGAGGUAAGCAAGCAGUACUAACAUGUAUCACAACUGAAAUAACUGCAGACGAAACUGACAAAAACUACUGCAACUAAGCACACACAAGAGGUACCAGCAAAGUCAACAUGCAAGUUCGGGGCUCAUGAUAAGAGGUGGGCUUGCCUGGGGUC